rnacentral:rRNA from 1 species
CGCCCUUAGAGUUUGAUCCUGGCUCAGGAUGAACGCUGGCGGCGUGCCUAAUACAUGCAAGUCGAGCGAACCACUUCGGUGGUGAGCGGCGAACGGGUGAGUAACACGUAGGUGAUCUGCCCAUCAGACGGGGACAACGAUUGGAAACGAUCGCUAAUACCGGAUAGGACGAAAGUUUAAAGGUGCUUCUGGCACCGCUGAUGGAUGAGCCUGCGGCGCAUUAGCUAGUUGGUAGGGUAAAGGCCUACCAAGGCGACGAUGCGUAGCCGACCUGAGAGGGUGAACGGCCACACUGGGACUGAGACACGGCCCAGACUCCUACGGGAGGCAGCAGUAGGGAAUCUUCGGCAAUGGGCGAAAGCCUGACCGAGCAACGCCGCGUGAAUGAUGAAGGCCUUCGGGUUGUAAAAUUCUGUUAUAAGGGAAGAACGACUUUAGUAGGAAAUGGCUAGAGUGUGACGGUACCUUAUGAGAAAGCCACGGCUAACUACGUGCCAGCAGCCGCGGUAAUACGUAGGUGGCGAGCGUUAUCCGGAAUUAUUGGGCGUAAAGAGCGCGCAGGUGGUUGAUUAAGUCUGAUGUGAAAGCCCACGGCUUAACCGUGGAGGGUCAUUGGAAACUGGUCGACUUGAGUGCAGAAGAGGGAAGUGGAAUUCCAUGUGUAGCGGUGAAAUGCGUAGAGAUAUGGAGGAACACCAGUGGCGAAGGCGGCUUCCUGGUCUGUAACUGACACUGAGGCGCGAAAGCGUGGGGAGCAAACAGGAUUAGAUACCCUGGUAGUCCACGCCGUAAACGAUGAGUGCUAAGUGUUGGGGGUCGAACCUCAGUGCUGAAGUUAACGCAUUAAGCACUCCGCCUGGGGAGUACGGUCGCAAGACUGAAACUCAAAGGAAUUGAC